CUCUUUAUAACAUCAUAACUGAAAUUCACAACUCUUGUGUUGUAUACCAUACAUUUACAGGAGAAACUAUGAUGUUUUGACUAAGAGGAUAUUGCCUGCACAGGUUUUGUAGUUAUAAUGUAGUAGUAGGCUAUUGCCCACACUUUUUAUUAGUUUAUGAUGCACCUUGUGGCACUUAUUAUUUUAAGGCUGGUUAUGGUAACAUUUCUGUCCUGUGAUAACAGUCCUGUUUUUGUUAAUGAAACUUAUGAAAAUUAUGUGUUAUUUUCAGUGUUUAUGCAUACGUGUAUCUCAGUGGCAGUAGCUAAUGGUAUGUAUCCUCCUGACGUCAUGUAGCCUAUCUUUUUUAUCAUGUCCCUUAUGUGUUAACUCGUGUCACCAACUAGUCAACACAAUGGUCAACUUGUGUUUAUACUAAUUCUCUCACUGUUAGAUUUAGGAGGGAGUUUUGAUCUCUCAUAUUUGGCCUACGUGUACAUGUUAAACUCCCAAAUUUUAUUUCUAGAUGCUAACAAUGCUGUAACGUGAUGGCUCAUAAUGUGGAUAUCUGUUAGUGGACUAGUGAUAAAUUUUAUUCCCACUUGGAUGCUUCUUUGUUGUGCGCUUUUAUUGAUUCCAACUUCUUUAGAAUUUCAUCUAAACUGUAAACUCAGUUAGAGUCAUUUUCUUUGAAGUAUAAGUUUUCUCA